UAAUACGUAGGCAGCGAGCGUUGUUCGGAAUUACUGGGCGUAAAGAGUGUGUAGGCGGUGCUCCAAGUCUGUUGUGAAAUCUCCCGGCUUAACUGGGAGGGUGCAGCGGAAACUGGAAUGCUUGAGGGUGGGAGAGGAAAGCGGAAUUCCUGGUGUAGCGGUGAAAUGCGUAGAUAUCAGGAGGAACACCUGUGGUGUAGACAGCUUUCUGGACCACUUCUGACGCUGAGACACGAAAGCGUGGGUAGCAAACAGGAUUAGAUACCCUGGUAGUCCACGCCCUAAACGAUGCAUACUUGGUGUGAGCCAUUCAUUUGGUUUGUGCCGGAGCUAACGCGUUAAGUAUGCCGCCUGGGGAGUACGGUCGCAAGGCUG
rnacentral:rRNA from 1 species